UCUCUUUCCCUACACGACGCUUUUCCGAGGUCCCCAUUUGUUGAAAAGUCGAUCAUUUCCCCAUUGAAUGGUCUUGGCACUCUUACCAAAAUUGGGACUUAUUGGACUAUAUAUGCAAAGAUUCAUUUCUGGGCUGUCUAUCCAAUUGGUCUACUCUUUCCUUAUGCCAUUAACACUCUUGAUUAUUGCAGCUUUGUGCUGUUUCAGUAUAAGGAAGUUCAUGUAUCACUUUUUAAACUUACUCUACCUCUUCCUUUAGUUCUUUCAUCAUCUCUGAGAUGGUUGUUUUAAAGUCUUCAUCUAGAUAUCUGCUAUCAGGUCUUUUUCAGGGACAGUCUAUUUUCCCUUUGAACGGGCGCUACUUUCCUGUUUUUAGAAUGCCUUGUGAUUUUUUUGUUGCAAACUAGAUAUCUGAAUAAUGUGGUAUCUCUGGCAGAUUAUUCUUCUUUCCUAGGGUUUUUUUUUUUUUUUAAUUGUUGUAAAUGAUCUCUGUGCCAAGGAUUAGCCUGAUGUGUAAACUUACUGUUUUCUCAGGUCUUUUCUGAGCCUGUGCCUUUUCUUGGACACGAGUGAUCACUUUCAACUUUUCCCUGUAUA